CAGCUUUUGCUGGACGUGGGAUGAUUAUUUUGAUAAUUCAGGCCGAAAAGGGAUGUAUAAGCAUAGGCAGACAUAGCACAGCAUGCAGAGUGGACCAGUGGCGUAACUACUAUGGGCUCAGACCGGGAUAACCCGGGGGGCCCCAACCCCAAUGGGGGCCCCCAGGCUUAGGCGAUAGAGCAAAAACAUUGGCCAUGGCCUCUGAUAUGUUACAAUGUCGUUUUGUGACCAUCAGAAUUCCGAAAAAUCUCUCCCCAAAGUCCAGGAAAUGGUAUUUCAGAGAGUCUAGAUUCAAUGAUGAGCAUGCCCUGGACCCCCUUGAAAACUUGUGCAUAUACGGCGCUCGACUCAUGCCUUUGGCACUUCUACUAGGGGGGGGGGGCUUCGAAAAUUUUGAACCGGGGGCCCCCUGAUAUAACGUUACGCCACUGG